UCCCAAAGAAUUAAGGUACAGAAUAGGUUCAUUAUGAAAUGAUCAUUUGUUUUAUAAAAGGAUUCACAACAAGCUUCCAGAAGUUAGCUUCUCUAGUAUAUUUCAAACAUUCAACUUGCCACAAUUUACUUGUAUUUCAGUUUAAAAG